rnacentral:rRNA from 1 species
GUGUCAGCCGCCGCGGUAAUACGUAGGUGGCAAGCGUUGUCCGGAUUUAUUGGGCGUAAAGCGCGCGCAGGCGGCUAUGUAAGUCUGGUGUUAAAGCCCGGGGCUCAACCCCGGUUCGCAUCGGAAACUGUGUAGCUUGAGUGCAGAAGAGGAAAGCGGUAUUCCACGUGUAGCGGUGAAAUGCGUAGAGAUGUGGAGGAACACCAGUGGCGAAGGCGGCUUUCUGGUCUGUAACUGACGCUGAGGCGCGAAAGCGUGGGGAGCAAACAGGAUUAGAUACCCGCGUAGUCC